rnacentral:rRNA from 1 species
UGGGGAAUAUUGCACAAUGGGGGAAACCCUGAUGCAGCGACGCCGCGUGAGCGAAGAAGGUUUUCGAAUCGUAAAGCUCUGUCCUAUGAGAAGAUAAUGACGGUAUCAUAGGAGGAAGCCCCGGCUAAAUACGUGCCAGCAGCCGCGGUAAUACGUAUGGGGCGAGCGUUGUCCGGAAUUAUUGGGCGUAAAGGGUACGUAGGCGGUCUAUUAAGUCAGGUGUGAAAGCGUGAGGCUUAACCUCAUUAAGCACUUGAAACUGAUAGACUUGAGUGAAGGAGAGGAAAGUGGAAUUCCUAGUGUAGCGGUGAAAUGCGUAGAUAUUAGGAGGAAUACCGGUGGCGAAGGCGACUUUCUGGGCACAAUCUGACGCUGAGGAACGAAAGCGUGGGGAGCAAACAGG